AACGCGAAGAACCUUACCUGGCCUUGACAUCCACGGAACCCCUGAGAGAUUGGGGGGUGCCUUCGGGAACCGUGAGACAGGUGCUGCAUGGCUGUCGUCAGCUCGUGUCGUGAGAUGUUGGGUUAAGUCCCGCAACGAGCGCAACCCUUGUCCCUAGUUGCCAGCACGUAAUGGUGGGAACUCUAGGGAGACCGCCGGUGACAAACCGGAGGAAGGUGGGGAUGACGUCAAGUCCUCAUGGCCCUUACGGCCAGGGCUACACACGUACUACAAUGGUGGGUACAAAGGGUUGCCAAGCCGCGAGGUGGAGCCAAUCCCAGAAAACCCAUCUCAGUCCGGAUCGGAGUCUGCAACUCGACUCCGUGAAGUCGGAAUCGCUAGUAAUCGCGGAUCAGCAAUGCCGCGGUGAAUACGUUCCCGGGCCUUGUA
rnacentral:rRNA from 1 species